AGCUUUGCGCAGUGGCAGUAUCGUAGCCAAUGAGGUUUAUCCGAGGCGUGAUUAUUGCUGAUUAUUGCUAAUAGAAGAGUUUCAGAUUUCAGAUUUGGGAACAUUUACAUAAACAUAAUGAAAUAU
rfam:Tupaia chinensis contig34209, whole genome shotgun sequence.